rnacentral:lncRNA from 1 species
CGGCCGCGGCGGAGCGAUGAUCCGCAGGGAAGACACCGAACGGGCAGUGGAAAUUCUGACCAGAUACCAGAGCACCUUGAGGUCUCCGGAGGAGCAGGAGCUGAAAGCCUCCAUCGGAAAGGUCUCGCACAUCUUCCAAAGCGAGCUCUUCCAAGCUCUUCUGGAUAUCCACGAGUUCUACGAGCUGACGCUGCGCGCGGCUCCGGCCCCGGCCCCCGGCACCGCCAGGCAGCAGC